CAGCAGUAGGGAAUAUUGGUCAAUGGGCGAAAGCCUGAACCAGCCAUGCCGCGUGUCAGAUGAAGGUCCUCUGGAUUGUAAAUGACUUUUCUACGGGAAGAAUGAGCCGUCUGCGGACGGAAGUUGACGGUACCGUAGGAAUAAGCACCGGCUAACUACGUGCCAGCAGCCGCGGUAAUACGUAGGGUGCAAGCGUUGUCCGGAUUUACUGGGUUUAAAGGGUACGUAGGCGGUUGUGCCAAGUCUGGGGUGAAAGUUUGCAGCUCAACUGUAAAAAUUGCCUUGGAUACUGGUCGGCUAGAGUAGUGGAGCGGUGGCUGGAAUUUAUAGUGUAGCGGUGAAAUGCUUAGAUACUAUGAGGAACACCAAUUGCGAAGGCAGGUCACUGGUCACUAACUGACGCUGAGGUACGAAAGUGUGGGGAUCAAACAGGAUUAGAUACCCUGGUAG
rnacentral:rRNA from 1 species